rnacentral:tRNA from 1 species
GGAGAAAUGGCUGAGUGGUCGAAAGCGCCUUCCUGCUAAGAAGGUGAUCUCAUAAAAGGGGUCCGAGGGUUCGAAUCCCUCUUUCUCCGCCA